CACAGUGGCAAACUGAUCGCAAAAGUGGUGCUUCAUGUUGUCUUUCUGUUGGGUGGUCUGAGUGUUUACAACAGAGUUUAUGCUGUAAUUGAUAGUAAUUGAUAGUUGGAAAAAGUGCCAGGGACAUUCUCAAACAAAAGCCUUACCCUCAAUGGACUCCUACUCAAUCUCCUGUUAAAGAACCAAAAGUGCCUUCCCUUUCAGGCUGAGAUGAAGUCUACCUUCAACUUUUCACCAAAAAUCAGUCCUGUCCUUAUCCACUCAGCACAUGAGGACAAGAGACACUUUAUAAAUGUGUGCCAAAUUUAAACACAUAAACUAGAUGCAGAUAGUCAAAUGAAAAGCACUAAGGCUAUAGGAUCUAGGUUCACAUAAAUAACUUGUAGUUUUCAAACUGUAGGGUAUGUGCAAUCACGAGGAAGCUUGUUAAAGUUGAGAUUCCUCACUCCUGCUCCCAGAGGCAUCCUGCUUCAGUUGGUCUGAGCUCUGAAAAUCUUAAUUUUUUCAGUAAGUAGUUCAGGUACAAACAAGAAUUCUUCUUGUGUGGCUAACUGAGCUUGUCAGAAGAGACACAGCCAGGAACACAUGGGAAAAAGACUUCGUGAACCAGGUACCUUAUAACUCUGUUUAGAAAAAAUGAAAAAAUAACUUGAAAGCCCCAGAUGGAGAAAUGAUUUGGUAAAUUAUGGUACAUGAAUAAAAUGAAAUAUUUUGUGGCCAAUAAAAAUGACACAAAUACAUAUGUAGUGUGAACAUAAGAGAAUUGUGAAUUCAGGACGAUUACAAUGAUGUGGACAAAUAAUGGGAAGGUAAUAGCAGAAAUAGACAUGGUUGUCUUUAAUAUUGUUUAAUUGCACCUAUUCAUUAUUUUGUUAAAAAGUUCACCACAAGCUCAGUAAUAAAAUUUUCAUACAUUUUCCAUUCUGUAUUGAUAAUUAGCUCUGAAACACAUCCAUAGAAGAUGCAGUCCUACCUGCAACCAGCUGUUGGCCAAGGGUUGAGAGAAAUGCCAAGAGAGAUCCAGAAAAAAAAAUCAUAGGAUUUUGGCCAAAAGAUCUGUGUUACAAUCUUAGCACCAAAGUCAGGGAUGUUAGCAAAUAUCUUAACCUCUGUUAGCACCAUUUUCCACAUCUUGAACAUGAGAACAGUAACAGCAACAAUAACAACCUCUACCUCAAAAGUUGUGAUGAUGGUUAUACGAGGCUAAUGAAAAUGAAAAUACUUUAUAGACUAUAAAUGCAAAUAGAAACUAUUUCCUCAGAUGUUAAUGCAAAAUGAAAUAUUAAAAUGUCAACACUGAGAAAUCUUCCUCCUGGGAGGUUUUUAAAAUCACCAAUUUGUUUGGAAACUCCUCUCGGAUCUAUUUAAUAGUGAUUUUUGUAAUCAAGCAACUCUGAGGCUUGUAUGUGUAUAAGACAACAUUUCCUAACAGAGAGGAGUGAAUAGCCUCAGGGCAGUCAAGCACAAUGUAUACUUCGGUCCUGGCACACAGGGUCAAGUGAAGCUGUGUCUACAAGUCUUGACCUUCAAUAGGCUCCUUUUCCUCUUUGUCUGUAGAAAGUGAUGUAAAAAGCCCACUGCUAUGUAAAAAGCCCAUGGACAUAUUACGUGGAGUUUCCAUUCACUUUCUUUCUCCUCUCACACACCUGUGCAGAUUGUGUGUCCAGCUCUUGUUGUGGAUCUAAGGAAUCUGUGGCCUGGCAACAGACAGCAGGAGACCAUUCCUUUGUGCACUCCCAUCAAAGGCUCAGCUAGGACACUGUCUUGACAGAUGUGCUGCCUGUUUUGCUGGAAAAACUCUGACAAGGUUGGAGGAGGGGUCAGUUUCUUUCCCUCCCAUGGGAAGGCAGCCAGGUAAUGUUCCCCUGGAAAAGGAGUGAGAGAAUUAUCUGGAUUCUUCCAGUAAGGCCAAAAAGUCCUUGUUAAUGUCAUGGUCAUUUUCACAGUGUUUAUCAAAGAUUUUCUGCUUCAAUGUAAAGCUUCUAAAUAUGGCAUUUUCAUGAGCCUGGCUGGGAUGUGGCCAAAUGCCUGAGGCAUAUAAAUAUUUACUAAAUAAGCAAAUGCAUUUGGACACAUGUUUCCGCCUCAGCAUUAGUGUGGUGGUCACUGGCAUUAACUCUCUGAGUGAAGCCAUUUUAUGAGUUAUCCCAGCAGAGACUAAGGAAACAUACCCAUAUCCAGGUCUUUAAGGUCUACAAAGACCAUACAGGAGAGUCUACAUUUUCUGAUGGAAGGUGGCAUUUUAUAUACAGAAAGGCAGGAGUGACCUCAUUCUUUGCUAAGCAUUCUUGCAAAGUGUGGUGGGAUAGAGAAGACUACAGAGCAUUAGCCUCUGUCAGCCUUGGAUUCAAGUCUCAGCUUUGGCACACUCUUUGACGUCCCAUAAAUAACUCACCCUCUCUGAACUGUAAAUGAGGGACAGCACUCCUCAUUCCACAGGGUUUUGUGAGGAGUAGGGGAAAUGAUGUAUAUAAAGCAUCUGGCCAAUACCAUGUACUCAUUAAAUACUAGUUUUCCGUUAUUUUUAAUUUUUGUAUUUUUUUUAAACCUAGGAUUUUUCCAAAUCUCACAUUCCCUCCCCAGGAUGUUCCUCUGAAGUUGUAGUAUACAUGUGUGAUGGAAUUGAAUCCACAUGUUCUUCAUUUGUGUAAGCUAAAAAAACAUCACUAUGUUAUUCGGGAAGAUUUGUUUGAUGUUCAGAAAUUCUAAAGUGGGAGCACUGGAAGAGUCUCUGACAUGCUCCUAGGAUGUCCUAUUCAGUCACAGUUCAAAGAGGCAUGGGUAAUUGCUUUUUAUGUCCUGUCCACUUAGACCAGCCUUGAAAAUAACCAUUGGCCUAUAAAAGAGCCAAGAUUGAAAUGUGAUUGCAUUCUGUUUGCUAUAAAAUAUCUCAAAUAUUUUCUCAUUUAAUCAUCAAAACAAUGCUGUGUGACUGUGUGAUUAUUAUAUCAUUGUCUAGCUUUACAGAUGGGUAAACUGAGUCUCAGAGGGCUUAAGCAACUGAUUAAUUGGUAAAAGCGAGUUUCAUCGCAUUUUCUGUCUCCAUAUCUAGAGCAUGCCACAAUCACAUGGGGUCUAGAAAUUAGAGGUUGUUAAAUGUGAUCCCUCUUUCCCUUUGACUUAGUCUUGCUUGUUUUUCUCUGGGACUUCCCACAGACGUCUAAGCAUUUAGGCAGAUCUUGUGGACUCAUUGUGCAGU